GGGUUGGAAAGAUAACAUAUGGGGAUGGAAUUUGACUUUUAGGAGAGAUAGAUUAAUGUAGGAAAUACAUAGAAGGAACAAAAAUUUAUGCAAGUCAUAACAUGUUAGUCCUUUAAAAGAGAGAGUGAAGAUAUUGAGUUUGGAAAGAAGAUGAGGAAGGAAUAUUUACCAUAAGGUUUGCAUACAACAUACAAUAAUACAUUGUAGAUUGAGAAAAUACUAGCGUUCAAAUAUUACUAGAGUUUGAAGGCUCUCCCAACUAAACAUCAAUUCAUGUGGAAAAGUGUUGCUAGAUAAGGUACCAACAAAGGUAAAUUUAC
rnacentral:lncRNA from 1 species